rnacentral:rRNA from 1 species
AGUGAACGCUGGCGGUAGGCCUAACACAUGCAAGUCGAACGGCAGCACAGGAGAGCUUGCUCUCUGGGUGGCGAGUGGCGGACGGGUGAGGAAUACAUCGGAAUCUACUUUUUCGUGGGGGAUAACGUAGGGAAACUUACGCUAAUACCGCAUACGACCUACGGGUGAAAGCAGGGGAUCUUCGGACCUUGCGCGAUUGAAUGAGCCGAUGUCGGAUCAGCUAGUUGGCGGGGUAAAGGCCCACCAAGGCGACGAUCCGUAGCUGGUCUGAGAGGAUGAUCAGCCACACUGGAACUGAGACACGGUCCAGACUCCUACGGGAGGCAGCAGUGGGGAAUAUUGGACAAUGGGCGCAAGCCUGAUCCAGCCAUACCGCGUGGGUGAAGAAGGCCUUCGGGUUGUAAAGCCCUUUUGCUGGGAAAGAAAUCCAGCUGGUUAAUACCCGGUUGGGAUGACGGUACCCAAAGAAUAAGCACCGGCUAACUUCGUGCCAGCCGCCGCGGUAA